AGUAGGGAUUUCAGUUUUGCUGAAAUUCACUGCAGUUCAGUAGUUGCUACAUGGUACAUGACUCAAGCAGAGGUGGGGAGACCACUACCAUUGGGAAACACUUUACCUAUCCCAAGGCCACCAGGUCAUCAUGAGGAGAUCCAUAAAGAAAGCAAAGGCAGAUCAUUAAGACCAUACAGAAAACCAAUUCAGCAUAAACUCAGUGGCAUCUGGAGUUUACAACAAAUGAAACUCUUCCACUCACACGAUGUGAGGAUACCGUGACUUGGCAAAAUCACGCUUUGUGCUACUUCCUAGAUACUGGACAACAGGACAACUAUGUGAAAUGAAAAGAAGAUUUAUUAACCCUG